rnacentral:rRNA from 1 species
GUCUACGGCCAUACCACCUUGAACAAGCCCGAUCUCGUCUGAUCUCGGAAGCUAAGCAGGGUUGGGCCUAGUUAGUACUUGGAUGGGAGACCACCUUGGAAGACCAGGUGCUGUAGGCA